rnacentral:rRNA from 1 species
AUUGAACGCUGGCGGCAGGCCUAACACAUGCAAGUCGAACGAGUGGCGGACGGGUGAGUAAUGUCUGGGAAACUGCCUGAUGGAGGGGGAUAACUACUGGAAACGGUAGCUAAUACCGCAUACCAUCAGAUGUGCCCAGAUGGGAUUAGCUAGUUGGUGGGGUAUCGGCUCACCAAGGCGACGAUCCCUUGCUGGUCUGAGAGGAUGACGAGCCACACUGGAACGGAGGCACGGUCGAGACUCCUACGAGAGGCAGCAGUGGGGAGUAUUGCACGAUGGGCGCGAGCCUGAUACAGCCAUGCCGCGUGUAUGAAGAGGGCCUUCGGGUUGUAAAGUACUUUCAGCGGGGAGGCGUUACCCGCAGAAGAAGCACCGGCUAACUCCGUGCCAGCAGCCGCGGUAAUAC